AUCGAACGUUGCAGACCCGUGCCGUUCAACAACAACAACAUAGCGCCGUCUAUCGAAUGAAAUACCACGAAGCAAACUUUGACCAUGAGCUGUAUAAAGACGGAUUUACCAGAGUCUUUGUCGAACAGGGUGAAGCCAGCACAGACCCUCGGUCUUGAGAACCUCAAGUGAAGCCAGUACAGAUUCCCAUCCUCACUGUGGACUCCAGUCUCUGGUGAAUUCAAAGCAGACUCCCAUCCUUGAAGUGAAGCCAGCACAGACCCCUGUCCUUGAUGUGAAUCCAGAGCGGAAUCCAGACUGGACUGCCAUCCCCAAGGUGAAGCCUCAAAGCUGUCUGGAGGCAAGGUCCCACUGUCGUCUGGAGUGCUGACUCCUCUGCUCCGUCUUCUUGGAAGGACUGUAAUCUGAACUUUUUAAUUUUUUUAUUCUUCUAAUUAAUUUCUAAAGUUUUGUACCUAGAUACCUAAGAUGGUGUGAAAGUCUAUAAUGCUGGGCUUUUAUGUUUUUAUUUUUUAAAUUAUUCCUAAGAAUCUGUACCUAGAUGCCUUUGUACCUAAGAUGGUGCCAUAAAAGGCAAAUUUGUAAUUUUUCACAGUAUCCUUUGAGUACAUGUGACAAUAAAUCUAAUUCUAAUUUUUUUUAAAUUCCAAA